AGGCACCUGCCUCGAUCCUUUUAUUAAAAUGCUUUCAUGUCUAACUAAUUCUCCUCUGUUUACUGUUCCCUUUCUUCUAUUGCGACUGGCGGGCAUGCAGAUGUGCCAUCUAGUGCCACCUGCCAGGUGAUCGCGACGCACGAUUCGUAAAGGGAUGCUUGAUCACGUCCAAGGGCUAAUUGGCAGGGACAGCUGCUGGAAAUCACAGGAGAAGGGAAUCAUUGAUUGUGCUGUAAUCUUACUGGAAUUGGAGGCAGGAGCUUUAAAUCGCCCAGAAAUGGAGGAGCUGUCUUUUGUGGGACACCUCUGGGCUCGUACGAGCUCCACUCUGUGCGGACGUGCAGAUGCUGAAGUAGGAGUGCGGCUGGAGGGAGGCCCUCGCCAUCUCUUUAUCAAAGCUGAUUUACAUGAUACAAAUUGUCCUACACUUUUGGUUCAUCUUCUACUAUUAUCUAGAGGGCCCAGUACAGAAAUGCUACAUCCGUGUUCCACGGAAACUCACUUCAUUGUUAAUCAUUUCAUUUUGAUUUUGUGACAACACCGGCAAAAGUUGUGUGUUUACGCUCUUGGUGACUUUCUGAACAGGAUAUUUCUCAGUGAAAAAGUCAUGCAUUGGGGACAAGUCUGACGUCAGGCGUUCCUUUCACGGAUCGUGCCUUUGGUAUUGGAUCUCAGGCACUCUUUGACUUGUUCUAGAUCCUGAAGGUUUUCCUCCAUAUUUUCUCUAAAAUUUUAUAGCUUCAUAUUUUAUAUUUCAAUCCGUGGUCCAUUUGCAGGGUUUUUUUUUUUUUUGUUAUUUUGUGGUCUUGUUUUGUUUUGUUUUGUUUUUGUAUAAAAUGUGAGAAUAAAGUUGAGUUUCUUUUU